GCUUCUGGGAUACCUCAGUCGGCAGAGAAUGAGACUCUUAAAUUCAGGGUUGUGGGUUCGAGCCCCACACUGGGCA